UAACAUAUUUGGAGCAUAUCUUUAUUUAGUUAUCACAGACACACUUGACUGCUUAGAAUCAUCCAUUAUCGUAAGUCCAACUACAUUAUUAACAUUGAAAAACAGAGGACAACUACUAUAACUUUUUGAGAUUUUAA
rnacentral:pre_miRNA from 13 species